AGAGUUUGAUCCUGGCUCAGAACGAACGCUGGCGGCGUGGAUAAGACAUGCAAGUCGAGCGCUGAUUCAAGGGUAGCAAUAUUCUUGGGUCGGAGCGGCGCAAGGGUGCGUAACACGUGGGUAAUUUGCCAUGAAGUCUGGAACAACUUGCUGAAAGGCGAGCUAAUGCCGGAUGUGAUUUUCGGGAAGCAUUUCCUGAAACUCAAAGUUGGGGACCGUAAGGCCUGACGCUUCUUGAUAAGCCCGCGGCCUAUCAGCUAGUUGGUGAGGUAACGGCUCACCAAGGCUAAGACGGGUAGCUGGUCUGAGAGGACGACCAGCCACACUGGAACUGAGACACGGUCCAGACACCUACGGGUGGCAGCAGUCGAGAAUUUUUCACAAUGGGCGAAAGCCUGAUGGAGCGACGCCGCGUGGGGGAUGAAUGGCUUCGGCCCGUAAACCCCUGUCAUUUGCGAACAAACCUUUUCAUUUAACAUGUGAAAAGCUGAUUGUAGCGGAAGAGGAAGGGACGGCUAACUCUGUGCCAGCAGCCGCGGUAAUACAGAGGUCCCAAGCGUUGUUCGGAUUCACUGGGCGUAAAGGGUGCGUAGGUGGUGGGGUAAGUCGGAUGUGAAAUCUCCAGGCUCAACCUGGAAACUGCAUUGGAAACUACCUUGCUAGAGGGUUUGAGGGGGGACUGGAAUACUUGGUGUAGCAGUGAAAUGCGUAGAUAUCAAGUGGAACACCAGUGGCGAAGGCGAGUCCCUGGAAAAUACCUGACACUGAGGCACGAAAGCUAGGGGAGCAAACAGGAUUAGAUACCCUAGUAGUCC
rnacentral:rRNA from 1 species